CUGGAUACAAUAGAAACAUCAACCUUUUAUUAUGACAACAAAACCCUCAAGUAGUUUGACAUAUUUAACCACAGCCUCUGAGGCUACUGACAGUGCAGUAAAAUCAAGCAAUAGUAGAAAUGUCUGGACACAUAUUGACAUUAGAACAGCCUGUCAUUGUGUAAGGACUAAACUGUACUAAAAUGAAUUCAAUCAACUUUCUUAACAUAUCAGACCUAACAAAAAACAUUUCUUGGCAGUGUGAUAAACAAAUAAAUACCCAAAGUCUACCUUACACUAACCUUGAUUUUAUAACACUGUGGCAUUAAGUUACUUCUUUUAUUCCCCCUGAAUAGCAUUGCUAUAGAAUUAAGUCUGGCAGAAACCAACACAGGAUUGACUGACAUUAAGUUAAGACUCCAGCAGUAUGGGGGGAAAAAAAUCUUUGUAAAUUUCUUUCUAACAACAAAUGGUCACUUGUUAAACAAGUGGAAACAUCAAAUAAUAUGUACAAGUAACAUGUUUGUCUAUCAUACAUCUACAAAGGAAAAAAAUCAUUUAAAUCUCCCCCCCCCCCCCCC